rnacentral:rRNA from 1 species
UACGGGAGGCAGCAGUGGGGAAUUUUGGACAAUGGGCGCAAGCCUGAUCCAGCCAUGCCGCGUGCGGGACGAAGGCCUUCGGGUUGUAAACCGUUUUCAGCCGGAAAGAAAUCGCU